GGCUCCACUUACCCUGCCUUUGGGGCUGCUUCUCCCCAGACCAUGCCCUGGUGCCCUGGGCCCAGCACGUGGUGACUUUUGACAGCCGGGUGUGAAACCUCAGCAUCCAGUGCGGCAGCAUCCUCCUGGCCCAAGACUUUGCUCACAACACAUUCUCCCUGAUGCUGAUUCGGACAGGCUUGGGUCUCAUGGCCCUGACCGUGGAGCUGAACCAUGUGACCCUCAUCUUCUACCCCAGCCUGCAGGUGAGAAGGAGAGGCCCGAGCUUCCCCUGGAGACCUGUGCCUGUGGCAGGUUGCCUGGGGGAUGGCACUUUCAAGCUUGUCCCCUGGCUGUGGGUCAGCUCUCCUGCCCACCCGCUCUGGUCCACAGGCCUACAGGCUAUACAGCUCCUACCUGCUGGGGGAGAGCUGUCCAGACCUCCAGCUGCCACCUGCCCUGACAAGGAGGGACGUCCCCAGGAUUGAGCUGGCCAGUGAGGACAAAGUCUGUCUCCUGUGAUGUGCCCACCAGCCCCUGCAGCCUGACUCUGGGCCUCUGGCACCAUGGUGGAUGGUGACUGCAAGGCCACCAAGAAGACUCAGCUGACCUGCCCAGGACAGAGCCCUGCCUGCCAGGCCUUCUUCCAGGACCUCCAUUCCAGCUUGAGGAACUGCUUCUGGGUGGAAGCAGCCCUGGACUCAUGCAGUGCCAAGACAGGAAGUGGUCUGGCUCAAUGGGAACCUUGGAGAAUCUGGGAAUCAAGCAGAAGCAC